UACAGCUUAGUUCAGGAUAUAAACUUCAGUGUACAAUAAGCAAAGCAAGUUUAUAAUUAUUUAACUAGAAAUAACAUAGGUCUGCCCCUGGCCAUCUAGACCCACAGAAUGGUUGAUUCAC